GACGAACCGAGCGAACGUUAUUCGGAAUAACUGGGCUUAAAGGGUGCGUAGGCGGGUUGUCAAGUCUGGGGUGAAAUCCGGCAGCUUAACUGUCGAACUGCCUCAGAUACUGAUGACCUCGAGGUAGGCAGUGCGGAACUGUAGGUGGAGCGGUGAAUGCGUUGAUAUCUACAGGAACUCCGGUGGCGAAGCGGACGUGCUGGACCUUCUGACCGCUGAGGCACGAAGCUAGG
rnacentral:rRNA from 1 species